UCGCCGUUAUCGUUUUAGCUUAUAUUAGUUAAGUUCAAUUAGAUUAAGUAGAUUAAUUUCUUCGCAUUGGCGUCUAGGGUUUUGCUGUACAACUUCUCAAUUUCGUCGUUGCUGUUCGACUUCGUUGCUUCGCAUGAGGCAGGGUCUUUGCACGAGUCGCUUCUUCGGCUCCUUCGUUGCUGUUUGACUUCGAUCGUUCCACGACGUUCCCUUCCUGUCGGAUCGAAUGUCUCGACAUUUUAAUUGGAAGUAACUACUGGGAGGUCGCUCGCUGUAAAGGAAACUACCUUUCUCCCUUUCGCGCGCUUCUUCGGCCAAAUCCCAAAUCUUGUAAAUCAGCGAAAUUACAGGAUUUAUUAAAUCCCGGAUUUGCGGUCCAGUAAGGGAGACGGAGGAUUUAUUAUUCCUCCGUGAGAUUUUUCGGUUGUUCAAAUCCCGUUUGCAGGAUUUGGCAAAAAAAUCCUGCUCAAAAUUGGCUUAAAUACUGUUAAAUCCUUUAUCCGAACAGCCCUAGGGCUUAUGAGGCAACAACAGCUGGCAUUACAAUGGGGAUUUAUACGUAACUAUCAGUAGAAAGCUUUCUACUUGUGUUAUUUGUGGAAUCUGCUGUCAUCUGACCCCUGCCCUAUUCUUUGUUUCUCAUUCUUCUUCUUAUCAGUUCUUUUGGGUUAUUGAUGUUUCAUAAUGUGCAGGGUAGGAUGCAUUAUUCUCUUUGAAGUUUCAAUGAAAUUCCCGGUCUGACUAGUUGUGGAUGCCUAUUUAUAGUGGAUCAAUGGAUUAGAUUGUUGUGGAAGAAGCAUGAAGCAUGAGUUGUUGGGUUGUUGCACCAAGUUCUUUUUAUUGUCUGUUAUUAAAUUUUAAUUUCCAGUGCUUAUCUAUUUUAUUAAGUGUUGAUGCGGUGAUGCAUUGACUAUUUGAAUCUUUCUUGGUCGAGUUUUCAUAUCUUUGAUUGAGAAUGAUGAGGCAUCAAAGAUGUGCAUUCUGUUUUGGCAAUCUGGCCUCGAUUUUGUAAAUUUGCUGAUAGAUGGUGCCUUUACAUGUCAGUUGAAGUAGCAUUUUUAUUGAAUUCUUAUAAGAAAUCCUUGUUUAAAAUA